rnacentral:rRNA from 1 species
GAUGAACGCUGGCGGCGUGCCUAACACAUGCAAGUCGAGCGAUUUACUUCGGGAAAGAGCGGCGGACGGGUGAGUAACGCGUGGGUAACCUGCCCUGUACACACGGAUAACAUACUGAAAGGUAUGCUAAUACGGGAUAACAUAAGAGAGUCGCAUGGCUUUCUUAUCAAAGCUUUUGCGGUACAGGAUGGACCCGCGUCUGAUUAGCUAGUUGGUAAGGUAACGGCUUACCAAGGCGACGAUCAGUAGCCGACCUGAGAGGGUGAUCGGCCACAUUGGAACUGAGACACGGUCCAAACUCCUACGGGAGGCAGCAGUGGGGAAUAUUGCACAAUGGGCGAAAGCCUGAUGCAGCAACGCCGCGUGAGCGAUGAAGGCCUUCGGGUAGUAAAGCUCUGUCCUCAAGGAAGAUAAUGACGGUACUUGAGGAGGAAGCCCCGGCUAACUACAUGCCAGCCGCCGCCGUAA